UUGGUGCCUUCGGGAACUCUGAGACAGGUGCUGCAUGGCUGUCGUCAGCUCGUGUUGUGAAAUGUUGGGUUAAGUCCCGCAACGAGCGCAACCCUUAUCCUUUGUUGCCAGCGGUCCGGCCGGGAACUCAAAGGAGACUGCCAGUGAUAAACUGGAGGAAGGUGGGGAUGACGUCAAGUCAUCAUGGCCCUUACGAGUAGGGCUACACACGUGCUACAAUGGCGCAUACAAAGAGAAGCGACCUCGCGAGAGCAAGCGGACCUCAUAAAGUGCGUCGUAGUCCGGAUUGGAGUCUGCAACUCGACUCCAUGAAGUCGGAAUCGCUAGUAAUCGUAGAUCAGAAUGCUACGGUGAAUACGUUCCCGGGUCUUG
rnacentral:rRNA from 1 species